rnacentral:rRNA from 1 species
GUGGGGAAUUUUGGACAAUGGGCGCAAGCCUGAUCCAGCAAUGCCGCGUGCAGGAAGAAGGCCUUCGGGUUGUAAACUGCUUUUGUACGGAACGAAACGGUCCGGGUUAAUACCCUGGGCUAAUGACGGUACCGUAAGAAUAAGCACCGGCUAACUACGUGCCAGCAGCCGCGGUAAUACGUAGGGUGCAAGCGUUAAUCGGAAUUACUGGGCGUAAAGCGUGCGCAGGCGGGUUUGUAAGACAGGCGUGAAAUCCCCGGGCUCAACCUGGGAAUUGCGCUUGUGACUGCAAGGCUGGAGUGCGGCAGAGGGGGAUGGAAUUCCGCGUGUAGCAGUGAAAUGCGUAGAUAUGCGGAGGAACACCGAUGGCGAAGGCAAUCCCCUGGGCCUGCACUGACGCUCAUGCACGAAAGCGUGGGGAGCAAACAGGAUUAGAUACCCGGGUAGUCC